CAAAACUCUAAAAAACAAUCUCAGUUCAGAUUGCAGGCUGCAACUCGCCUGCAUGAAGUCGGAAUUGCUAGUAAUCGUAGGUCAGCAUACUACGGUGAAUACGUUCCCGGGCCUUGUACACACCGCCCGUCAAACCAUGAGAGUUGGAGAUACCCGAAGCCUAUGAGCUAACUUUUAGAGGCAGUAGUCGAAGGUAGAAUCAAUGAUUGGGGUGAAGUCGUAACAAGGUAUC
rnacentral:rRNA from 1 species